AUGGGGGAAUGUAUAGUCUUCUAUAUGGGGACUAGUUAUCUUUACUUUGUAAUGCACCCAAAGGUUACAAUAAUCAAGGGUUUUUUAGAGCCUGAAAGAUAAUACCAACUGAGUUGGAUAAAAUUCAAGGUAGUAUACUUAUAAUGAUAGUUUCUAUCUAACAGUCUUGACCAAAUUACGUGCCAGCAGUCGCGGUAAUACGUAGAAGCCAAGUGUUAUUCAUCUUUAAUAGGUUUAAAGGGUACCUAGACGGCGUAAUUAACCCGAAAGGGAAAUAGUUAUAGCUAGAGUUUUAUAUAAGGAGGGGUGUAUUUUUAAAAGAGUAGGGAUGAAAUCCUCUGAUACUUUAAGGACAGGCAAAGGCGAAAGCAACCUUUUAUGUAAUAACUGACGUUGAGGGACGAAGGCAUUGAUAGCGAACAGGAUUAGGUACCCUAGUAGUCUUUGCAGAAAAUGAUGAAUGCCAUAGGUCAGAUAUUAAUUUGGUCUAUAAAUGAAAGUGUAAGCAUUCCACCUCAAGAGUAAUGUGGCAACGCAGGAACUGAAAUCAUUAGACCGUUUCUGAGAACAGUAGUGAAGUAUGUUAUUUAAUACGGUGACCCUCGAAAAACCUUACCAUGGCUUGAAUGACAUUACCAGAUUACCAAAAUUAAGAAUUGUAAUAAUUUAUUACAAUUAAUAAAUUAUUACAUUUCUUUUGGUGAUGUUACAAGUGUUGCACGGUUGUCUUAAGUUAAUGUCGUGAGAUCAGGUUUGUUCCAUUAAAUUAGCGUAAACCCCGGCUUUAUUUUUAAAUAAAUUUAAAUGUUUUUUUUGCUUGCUCCAUGUGCUUUGCAAGAGCAAGAAGUUUCUUGCUUUUGCAAAGCAAAAAAAAAAAGAACCUUUGUCUCUUUAAAACAUAGGAUAUAAAAAAAAAAAAUAAUUUAAUAUUUGUGAUAGAGCAGUUCAUCAACAUAAAGACUUAGUCAUUCGUUUGACUGAAUUGAUAA
rnacentral:rRNA from 1 species